AGAAGGGGGAUGAAUCGGAGAAGGGUGCGGACGAGUGCAGGGGGGCCUGCGGUCUUCUACUCUCUUCCUAUUUUCCUACCUAAACUCAACUUCUCCAACCACUAUCAUUUUCGAUCUGAUAGUGGUACCCCCAUCAUUUAUCAAGUCUCAGCCUUGGGUAUUUGGUUUCAAAGAGAAACCAAACGAGUUCUUGAUUCAACUUCAACAGCAUGGUAUCUAUAGUUUCUAGCUUUCGGAGUUCAGAUUAUUCGGAUAAGGUGGCAUGGUUUCAUAUCUCAGUGAUAGCUCCGAUGGAUCAUUGCUCAUAUCAUGAUAAAUAUUGUUCCACAAAGGAACAAGAUGUGUGAUUACCAAUAGGUGGCAUUUUACCAUUUAUGAAGACAAACUUCGUGCACAACAAUUGGUUAUUUCUAGUUUUGCAAUGUUACAUAGUAGAUGGUUUGAUUUGAUAUAGGUUUAUCAUUUCUGUGAGUGAUUUUAAUAUAAGUGAUAUUGGUGAUUAUUCUA